UAUCCACCAGGACUCUUCACAAUGGGACCUAGAACUCAGUAUGUAAUAUCACUUCUAUCCCCUCUUGAAUGAGAAAAGCGUUGCCCCAGUAGAUGCGCGGAUCAAGGUUCGGUACCCGGGAUACAAACUUUGUACUUAGCCACCAUCGUUGGUACAUUCAAAUGUUAUCCGGGCCACAAAAAGAAUACGGGAUCUUUUUGGCGUAACCAACACGGCACUAAC
rnacentral:lncRNA from 1 species